CCCAGCCUGUGGGGGCCGGAAAAGGCGGGAAAGGUCCCCAUUGGCUGAGAGUCUACAAGCCGCCGGCCCCGCCCGCCGGCCUCCUCCCGGCUCUGACAGCACCCCUCCCCGGCCCCCGGCUUCCCUUCAGGCACCUUUCGCCAAAAGGGAUGAUGGCCCCGCGGCGGUUCUCGGAGGCUAAUGCCCUGUGGAGAAAGGGUCCAGAAGGAUUUCUCGCUUCUCCUAGGGCGAGCAUAACUUUUCCCCACCAGAAAAAGCCUGGAAUCUGAGCCGGUUUCUUAUGAGGCAGCGUCCAGGAAAGGAAUUCGAAAAACAGCACCAGAGGGCUUCAAGCAAAGGGAUGUUAACAGCUUCAGGAUUACUGUAUUUCUCCAACUUUAAGAUGCUGCCAGUUAUAAGAUGCAUCAUUUUUAAAUAUACCACUGAGAAAAAACAGUUGCCAAAGAAAGAUGUGUCAUCGGUUGUAAGCUUUUUUUUUUUUUUUUUUUUUUUUUUUUUUUAAAGUAAUCUCUACAC